rnacentral:rRNA from 1 species
CUGCAACCCGGCUCCGUGAAGCUGGAUUCGCUAGUAAUCGCGCAUCAGCCAUGGCGCGGUGAAUACGUUCCCGGGCCUUGUACACACCGCCCGUCAAGCCAUGGGAGCCGGGGGCGCCUGAAGUGCGGUACCGCGAGGGCCGCCCAAGGGCGAGACCGGUGACUGGGGCUAAGUCGUAACAAGGUAUC